rnacentral:rRNA from 1 species
UACAGAGGUCUCAAGCGUUGUUCGGAUUCAUUGGGCGUAAAGGGUGCGUAGGUGGCGCCGUAAGUGGGGUGUGAAAUUUCGGAGCUUAACUCCGAAACUGCAUUCCAUACUGCGGUGCUUGAGGACUGGAGAGGAGACUGGAAUUUACGGUGUAGCAGUGAAAUGCGUAGAGAUCAUGAGGAAGACCAGUGGCGAAGGCGGGUCUCUGGACAGUUCCUGACACUGAGACACGAAGGCCAGGGAGCAAACAGG